GGAGGGCAAGGCAGCACCAUUAGUUUGUCGUCGUGCUCCUUGUGGAACGAGAGGUUGGGUUCGUCCCCUUUCUUCAACCGUAGCACCGCCAACGCAGAGUUUACUGAAGAGGUCUCCUUCAGCAAAGUUGGGGUGGCCCACGGGUAGAGUUUCUUGUAGUCUGGUGUGGGAAUGGAGGCUCCUCCGGCGACUGGUGGAGUUGCCUGAGCG
rnacentral:lncRNA from 1 species